AUAAGAUGCAGAUGGAAACAUGCUGUAUACCUGACGCACCGAAUUAACGUUUAAGCGAGAUGUAAGCUCGCCGGAGUUGGGGAGCCACGAUGUGGCUUUUUCUUUUAG
rnacentral:ncRNA from 1 species